UAGAAAACUCUCGCACCGUUCAAGUCUUCAAGAGAGAGAAUCCCCAAAAUAAACUUCUUAAACGACAACGAAACAAAUCGUUUUCGCCUCGCCAAAAUCAUCCACGCUUUCUCUGCAACUUCGUCGUCGAAGGAAGCCGCCACUGUUGCGUUUGGGAUUAUUGAGUUUACUUGGGUUUUUCUUCUUGUCUUCUUCUCAAUUGGGCGCUGGGAAGUGGGUCAUUUGAUUUUUGUAGAUAUCUGUAUUAUUUAAGAAUUGGAAGCAAAUUCCAAUUUGGGUUUCGCGAUUGUUUGUAAUUCUCUCGGGAUAAUAGGGUUUUACUUGAAUUUGUAUGUAACUCUGGGAAGAGUUUAGGGCUUUGAACUGGGUUUUUAGGAUUUUUCAAGGGACGGUUGAUUGGUCAGAAGUGAACUAUAGGAGAGGCCAAGAAAAAAAAAAAAAAGUGGAGCUGAUUUUUGAUAGGGUAUUGUCGUCCAAGCAGAAGAGGGCUUUAUUGGGUUAUUUUGUUUUGAUUUGACUUGAGAAGUUUCCAGUGCGAAUUCAUGGUUGUGAGUUGGGUUUUUCUUUUUGUGAAUUUUGGGUCUUUAUGGGAAUAGAGAUUUUGGCUCAUUUGGGGUUUUUGCAAUUGAAUUAUAGGGAAACUGAAAAUUUUCAUAUUCAAUUAGUGAAUCUUGGAGGCUUGAUGUUGCAGUUCUGAUUAGAAGUUGGAAUUAGGAUGGAUGAAUCUCAGGGCAGCUCCAAUUCAUUGCCACCUUUCCUUUCAAAGACAUAUGAGAUGGUGGAUGAUCCUUCUACGGAUUCAGUAGUUUCAUGGAGUCAGAGCAAUAAAAGCUUUAUUGUAUGGAAUCCGCCAGAGUUUGCAAGGGAUUUGCUCCCGAGAUUCUUUAAGCACAAUAACUUCUCAAGCUUCAUCAGACAGCUCAACACAUAUGGCUUUAGAAAGAUUGAUCCAGAACAAUGGGAAUUUGCAAAUGAAGAUUUUAUAAGAGGUCAACCACACCUUAUGAAGAACAUUCACAGGAGGAAGCCGGUUCACAGCCAUUCUAUGCAAAAUCUCCAAGGACAGGGAUCUUAUACAUUAACUGAUCCAGAAAGACAGACUUUGAGGGAUGACAUAGAGAGGCUUCAACGUGAGAAAGAAGUGCUUAUCUCGGACUUACAGAGGCAUGAACAGGAGAGAAAGGGAUUUGAGAUGCAAAUGCAGGCUUUGAAGGAGAAAUUGCAACAGAUGGAGCGAAGGCAGCAAACUAUGGUGUCUUUUGUGGCUCAAGUCUUACAAAAACCUGGGCUUGCUCUGAAUCUCAUGUCGCAGUUGGAACCAGGCCAUGAUAGAAAGAGAAGGUUGCCAAGAAUUGGUUAUUUCUAUGACGAGGCCAGCAUGGAGGAGAAUCAAAUGGUUACUUGCCAAACUAGAGAGAAUGUGGAUAGUAAUACUGCUGCACUGUCAAACAUGGAACAGUUUGAGCAAUUGGAGUCAUCUCUGACAUUUUGGGAGAGUAUUGCAAAUGACGUCGAAAACAAAAUGCAAAGCAAUUCAAACUUGGAGUUGGAUGAAUCUACAAGCUGUGCUGAAAGCCCAGCCAUAUCUUGUGUACAAUUUAGUGUUGAUAUUCGGCCCAAGUCUCCUGCUAUCGACAUGAAUUCUGAGCCUGCUGUAGCUUCUGUUCCAGAGCCUGAACCCCUGAAGGAACAAACAACUGGAACUGCUCCUACUGUGGCAGCUGGAGUCAAUGAUAUAUUCUGGGAACAGUUUUUGACUGAGAAUCCUGGUUCAACUGAUGCACAGGAAGUUCAAUCUGAAAGAAAGGAUUCUGGUGAAAGAAAAAAUGAGAUGAAACCCAGUGAUCAGGGAAAAUUUUGGUGGAACAUGAGGAAUGUAAAUAAUCUUGCUGAACAGAUGGAGCAUCUUACUCCUGCAGAGAGAACUUGAAAUUUGCUUUGAUUGUUUUUCUGGCUCUGGUGCCUCAGAGCCUCACUUGUAAUAAGUUUAGGUAAAAUGCUUCAUGAUGGGAUUCUCAUCAUUAGUCUCAAGAGCGACUAGAUACAAGCAGAAGGGGGAUGCUCAACCCUGAUCGAAUCAUGAAGGAGCUGGAAGCCAGCCCAGGCGGAGGAUAAGCAAGAUAGUGAACACCCAUGGUAGACCUAACUGCUUCAUUAGUUAGCAGUCUGCAUCACUGUUGGACGCACAAUAAAUAUGAGAGCAAUAGAUAUGGUUUAGUUUAUACCAGGAUGCCAAGUCACGGUAUGAGUCUGGAUAGGAGUGAUGGUCGGGGACAUCUCUUGUUGUGGUCGUAGUUUCUUACUCUGGAGAUGAUGGAAUUAACAGUACUAGCUUGUUGAGUCAAGCAGGUAGUGCUGAAAAUGGAAGCCCAACUUAAGAGAUCUAACGUUGUUGAAUCUUGCAGGUUGAUUUCAAACCAACUUGAUAUUUUUUAACAUGCAAAUUAACAUGUUUUUCUUUUUAAGAAUAAAAAGAACUGGGCGAUUUAUGCAUGUUAGUGUGUGUCUUUUGAAGGUGACUGCCGGGGAAUUUUCGUUUCGGCUCCAAGGGGUAAUCUUUGGAGACAUGGCGAAAACAGAGUCUGCAGUCAUAUUGGAUUAUAUAUGCUGGCUUGGCAUCUAAUCAUUGAAUUUGGUGAUCAUUCAUUAAGUGGUGGCAGAUAAAACCAAAUUGCAAAAUUCAAUGACCAUUUGUUUUGGUGCUUUUUUCUCCCCUUCUAUUUCUUUUUUUAAAUAUAUAUUUUCUAUUUGUUUUUGGGCAUCAUGCUGAUGGCCUGAAUGCUCCAAAAUCCUGAAACUGAAGCCUUUGCAACUGAACCUUGCUCUGUUUUCCAUGCCAGCCUGUCUCUCUCCCUAAAGAUACAAAUUUAAAACAAUAGAAAUGUACUUGAUGUUAGGUGAAAAAAUAUUGCCCUUAUCCUGAGCUCUGUUUUAUGUGGUCUCUUUUCUUCAUCAGCAGUCAAAUGAAUAUGAAUGCAUAAUCCUGUAUCAUGACAUUAUGCAAGUCAAAAUCUAGUUGCAACUUGCAAGGCCACUCUCAUAUAGCAGGCGGUUAGAUUAGCAGUAGCCACGCUAGCUAGAUAGCUACAAGCUGACUUCUGUACUGCAAGCUUUCUUAAUCUGGUGUACAUAUGUUCCUUAAUUGUAUCAAUCAAAUCCUGUUUUCUGAAGA